rnacentral:rRNA from 1 species
GAAGGUAGCUUACGGCCACACCGCCUGGAUCACGCCCGAUC